rnacentral:rRNA from 1 species
CACUGUUAACGGUGGAUCACUUGGCUCGUACGUCGAUGAAAAACGAGGCGAGACUCGAAAGUUUAUGUGAUUUGCACCCACGUUGAACAUAGAAAAUUUUGACGAACGCACAUUGCGGUGUUGAGUUGACUCGACGCCGCGUCUGUCUGAGGGUCG